CGUGACUUAGGAAGGUGGGCAAAGACCAGGAUGGGCGUCAGCUAAAGGAAGGGGCCAUCUUGGGGCGUGGCUAGCGCGGGACAGGGCCUAAGGAGGUGAGCAGAGGGAGGGGACGGAGACGUCCACUGAGGGGCGGGGCUGCUGUAGGACGUGACGAACGUGGGGCGGGGCAUAGGGAGGGUGAGCGGGAACGGGACAAAAGCCGAGGGGUAGGGCCGGCGAGGACGUGAGCAGCGUGAGGCGGGGACUAAGGAGGUUGAACAGAGACCAGAAGUGAACCUAAGCGGAGGGGCGGAGCCAAUGCAAGAGGUGGGCAAGCGAGGAGGGGCCUAAGGGAGGUUUAGGGGGAAUGGGGCGUCAGCGGAGGGGCGGAGCCGUGGGAUGUGUAACCAGUGUGGGGCGCGGCUUAGGGAAGGUGAGCAGAGACGAGGACGGAACGUCAGCUGAAGGACAGGGCCGGCUUGGGGCGUGGCUAGCGCGGGACUGGGCCUAGGGAGGGUGAGCGGAUUUUGGGGCUGGGGACGUCCGCUGAGGAGCGGGGUUGGUAUAGGACGUCGCGAACGUGGGGAGGGGCCUAGGGAGGGUGAGCGGGAACGGCACAAAAGCCGAGGGGCAGGGCCGGUGUAGGACGUGGCCAGCCAUGUGGCGCGGCCUAGGGAGGAUGAGCGGGGAGUGAGUGUCAGGCGAGGGGCGGGACGGGCGUAAUACGUGGUCACCGUGAGGCGGAGCCUAAGGAAGGUGAGCAGAGCGUCCAGAGGUGGAAUCAACGACCCGCGGGUCGAGGGAAGGUGCGUGUAGACCGGGAACAACUUGUCACCUGAGGGGGGGAGCCAGACUGGACGUCGCCACGGUGGGUGGGGCCUAGGAGGACGAGCGGGGGCGGGCGGUUUGCGGCGCGGGCCACUCCCCCUUCCGCCCCCGCCUUUCCGGUCCCGCUCCUCCUUGCGUCCCACGCGCCAGCGGACUGGCCGCUCUAGUGGGUUUGGGGGUGCUUGGUGUCUGGGGAGCUGGCUGCUUCUUCCCUAGCUGCCGUGACUGUUUCAGGGAAUUCCAGAGAGAGUGCUAGCGGCGGGGGGACAGAGGGAGGGACAGAAUCCAAUGCAGGCUGCAAGCCUGAGCCAAGCCAAUACAGCGCUGGAUCCCAGACCCUGGGACGAUCUGAGUGAAAAUCGAGAGUCUGAUGCUCAACCGUCUGAGCCACCCACGCCCCCGAUAAGUGUGGGAUAUUGUUUUUUGUGGGUUUUUUUCCCUUAAUUUUUUUUAUGUUUAUUCAUUUUUUGAGAGACGGAGAAAGAGUGCUAGCGGGGGAGGGGCAGAGAGAAGACACAGAAUCAGAAGCAAGCCCCUGGCCCCGAAAGCCCCUUGCAGCCCGAACCCACAGAUCGUGAGAUCAAGACCUGAGCGAAGUCGGACUCAACCGACUGAACCACCCAGGUGCCCCAAGUGUGGGAUAUUAUGAUUACUGCUUUUGUUUUCUAUUUCUUAAUGUUUUAUGUCAAGUUGGGAUAAUGAAUGAGGUUUGUAAAAUGGAUACCAUUUGGGAAUAUGUGGAUUUUGCUUUUAAUUGAUGAAAAAUUAAUUUUUCAAUAUCUGGGAACAUUUGAUAGGGAUGUUUCUUGUUUGCCAUUGUUAACCUUAAAAACAAAACUGCCAGGGGGCCCCAAACCGGACACCAAGCUGAGCAUGGAGACUGCUUGGUUGCUGUCUCUCCCUGUGCCCCUCUUCCCUCCCCUGUGUGAAAGCACAUUUUAUCUCUCUCUCUCUCUCU